AUACUUACCUUGUUGGGGCUGCCGAGAUCAUGAAGUCGGUUGGCCUAUCGGGCUACCCUGCAUUGCACAGCGCGGUGGUGGCCCGGUAUGAAUCUCCUUCGGGAGCUUCACCGGCGCAAUUUUUGAUGGCUUUCCGUUGACGGAAAA
rnacentral:snRNA from 1 species